UUUCAUUCAUCAGAAAUUUUCUUUUAGUUUAUUCCAAUUGUAUAUCGAUUUCCCAAUAAAAAUCAUUUCUUACAUUUCAAAAUCAUCUUCUUUUCUUUUUAACUUUUGCCACUUGCCUCAACCUUUUGAGAGAUCUGUUGUCUGUUCUUAACAUGAAACCCAGAUCUUUGGCCAUUGUGUCAAGAUCGGGUCAUAACAUGUUGAUAGUUCAUAGGGUUUCUUUCUACUUCCUUGUUACCUGCAACUUUAUGGACUGUUUGUUUAUAAUCGGUUUUCACCUAAAGAUUCAAUCAUACGAAAUAAAAACAAAACAUCCUUUCAAAUUUCGGAAAAAAAUAAAAGUCAUACCAGUCACGCCACUGGCCAUCAACCUCGCCUUACAGAGCUUCUGUUCAUACUCAGUCUCCAAAACUUGAGAUGGUUGACUCUCUGUUUAAGAGGGUUUCCGACACUGAGGAUGAAGGCAUAAUGAAAGGUACCAGAUAAGCACUACUGCAAUCUCUGUUGUUGCUCCUAUUUGCUAUGCCCAUUUGGCAGCCACACAGAUGUCUCAGUUUAUGAAGUUGGAGGGUCGCCCUGAGAGAUCUUCGAGCCAUGGGGGUACGGGUGUUACAUCGGCUGGAGCAGUGCCGGUUCCUCAGUUGCCCAAACUGCAGGAAAAUGUUUGCAACUCGAUGUUUGUACUUCACAUGUCCAUUAUUACGAAAAAGCCUAAACCACCUAACUCACCCUCACGGACACCCUUCAGAAACCUAAAUCCACUCUCCAUCAAAAGCCUAAACCCCCACCCCC